GUAAAAGAGUAUGAAUCACUGUCUCUACCAUCUGAAUAGUCCCCUGUGUGAGAGUGCUAGCUUGGGCAUAGCUCAUAUUGGAGUUUAGGAUCAGCUGAAGUGAACCAUUAAAAGCACCAAGAAUAUUGUUAACCACAUCCUGAGGUAGAGCUCCGGUUUCAUUAGAAAUACUCUCCAGAACCACUCUGACUGUGCUAAUGACAGCUUCUGUAAAGUUUUCACUUUGGAGACCACCAUCAGUGCUAGCCACAUGAGAUGCAUAAGUUAGUGCCUGAGACACCUGCUCAGCAACAUCCAGGAAGGCUCUGUCCUCAGGGGAGAGUAGAGGAGCCAUGGCUUGCAAAAGUUGUUCAAGAUUCACCCCAGCUCCUGCAAGAUCUACAGAGCUAACAUUCCCCUGGAAGAUUUUGUCAAGUGCAAUUGUCAGAUGUUGGUUAAUGAUCC